CAUUCACUCAUUAGGAAGGAAAUUCGUACCUCGACUAGAUCAAUGAGUUCUAUUACAAAACCACUUAAGUUUCUCCGCCCAUAUUAUGGAACAUUAGAUACUUUCUAACAAAGGAAGAUUCAGAGUUGAAGAAAUGCCUAGCCGACACACUUUUCGUUUUGGAAGAUUCAGAGUUCAAGUGCAGAAAUACCUAGCUGACACACUUUCCGUUUUGGCAUUAACAACGUCUGUCGAAGUAAAAGGGGUAGGUGAAAGCUUCACAGUUUACUCUUUGUUUUUGCAGUCACAGUUUGAAGUUUAAUAAGGGAUAACCUUGAAUUAUAAUUAUAACAAUAUAUGAAGUUAUAAGGCAUGUUUUUCAUUUAAGGGUCAUUCUAAUCUGGCUACUGGCAUAGUUUUCUACUAAAAUACCUGAUUAAAUAGCUCGAACAAUUGAACUGGUUUGUGUUUGUUCAUUUUGCAUGUUCUGCGUCUGCCGGAGAAACUAAAUAAUUUGUUCUCCGGUUGGGUGAGAGUAGUUAGGAGCUGGGCAGAUAUACAAAGAGCCUAAAGGCUUUAUCUAUUAUGGUUCUGGGAAGUUACCCUUUCAUAGCUAAGCUAUCAGGACCCAACUUUUCCUUGUGAAUAAAUAUUGCAUCUCUUCUGAAGAGUUUUUUUAAUCGACUUCUAUUUUCACUGAGUUUGUCAUCCUACAAAAUACCACAUUAGUUUUAAACUCGGGUCUGCGAAACAUAUAGCAGAAGCAAUAGUGAAGAAGGACGGUGUUGCAAGGUUGACUUCUGUAGUUAAAGGACUAGCUGUGCUGAAAACAACCCAGAUAAGUCAUGCGCCGUGCUCAGGGGUGUGUUAUACUUGACAAACACGGGGGUCACAGCAAAGGAAAGGGUUACUUGUUGAAGGCGGAUUCGAUUAUAUGAAAGUGUCAUUUGUAUCAAAGCUCAACAAAGAAGUUUGAGAGAUGGGGAUUGAGAAAAAUAAAUAAUGUACAAGCUCUGCGCGGACUCAGGUUUUAAACUUGGGUUUGCGGAAUAUACAUCAGAAGCAAUAGUGAUCUUCAAGGAAGCAUUGGUACUUGGAUUUCGAAUCUCCAAUAAGAUCAGACCCCAACAAGAAUGCUUAUGAAGAUCCAUUUGUCUUCACUGGAACUGCGAAUGAAGCUCCUCAAUUUCGGCAACUGUUGGAGAUUAUGAGUAUUGGGACGGAGAUAUUCAGGUAAUAAUGUUGGUUUCUAACACUUGUUUAGUGGCUUUUCUUGUAAGAUUUACAUU